rnacentral:rRNA from 1 species
UACGAAGGGGGGCUAGCGUUGCUCGGAAUCACUGGGCGUAAAGGGCGCGUAGGCGGCCAUUCAAGUCGGGGGUGAAAGCCUGUGGCUCACCACAGAAUUGCCCUUCGAUACUGUUUGGCUUGAGUAUGGCAGAGGUCAGUGGAACUGCGAGUGUAGAGGUGAAAUUCGUAGAUAUUCGCAAGAACACCAGUGGCGAAGGCGGCUGACUGGGCCAUUACUGACGCUGAGGCGCGAAAGCGUGGGGAGCAAA